UUAGAGUUUGAUCCUGGCUCAGAUUGAACGCUGGCGGCAGGCCUAACACAUGCAAGUCGAGCGGUAGAGAGAAGCUUGCUUCUCUUGAGAGCGGCGGACGGGUGAGUAAUGCUUAGGAAUCUGCCUAGUGGUGGGGGAUAACGUUCGGAAACGGACGCUAAUACCGCAUACGUCCUACGGGAGAAAGCGGGGGACCUUCGGGCCUCGCGCCAUUAGAUGAGCCUAGGUCGGAUUAGCUAGUUGGUGAGGUAAUGGCUCACCAAGGCGACGAUCCGUAACUGGUCUGAGAGGAUGAUCAGUCACACUGGAACUGAGACACGGUCCAGACUCCUACGGGAGGCAGCAGUGGGGAAUAUUGGACAAUGGGCGAAAGCCUGAUCCAGCCAUGCCGCGUGUGUGAAGAAGGUCUUCGGAUUGUAAAGCACUUUAAGUUGGGAGGAAGGGUAGUAACUUAAUACGUUGCUACUUUGACGUUACCGACAGAAUAAGCACC
rnacentral:rRNA from 1 species